UUUUGGGGGAUCCAGGGAGAAGGUGGCUUGGGGACACCCCAAUUUUGGGCACCCAGAGACCCAGGGAUUUGGGGACACCCCGAUUUUGGGGGAUCCAAGGGGACAGGGUGGACUUGGGGACACCCCAAUUUGGGCACCCAGAGACCCAGAGAUUUGGGGACACCCCAAUUUGGGGGACUCAAACACCCAGGGAUUUGGGGACAUCCUGAUUUUGGGGGAUCCAGGGAGAAGGUGGCUUGGGGACACCCCAAUUUUGGGCACCCAGAGACCCAGGGAUUUGGGGACACCCCGAUUUUGGGGGAUCCAAGGGGACAGGGUGGACUUGGGGACACCCCAAUUUGGGCACCCAGAGACCCAGAGAUUUGGGGACACCCCAAUUUGGGGGACUCAAACACCCAGGGAUUUGGGGACAUCCUGAUUUUGAGGGAUCCAGGGAGAAGGAGGCUUUGGGACACCCCAAUUUUGGGCACCCAGACACCCAAAGAUUUGGGAACACCCCGAUUUUUGGGGACUCAGAGACCCAGGGAUUUGGGGACACCCCGAUUUUGGGGGAUCCAGGUGUCCAGGGUGACUUUGGGACACCCCAAUUUGGGACAGCCAAGUGUCUGGAGAUAUGGGGACACCCCAAUUUUGGGGACUCAGAAACCCAGGGACUUGGUGAGACCCCGAUUUUGGGGGAUCCAGGGGGACAGCUGGCUGGGGGACACCCCAAUUUGGUGGACCCAGACUCUCAGGGAUUUGGGGACACCCCGAUUUUGAGGAUCCAGGUGCCCAGGUGGCUUGGGGACACCCCAAUUUUGGGGAUUCAACAACCCAGGGAUUAGGGGACACCCCGAUUUUGGGGGACACGGGUGUCCAGGUGGCUUGGGGACACUCCAGUUUGGGGACCCAGAGAUACAGGGAUUUGGGGAUAUCCCAAUUUUGGGGACCCAAGGAUCUCAGCUGGCGUGGGGACACCCCAAUUUGGGCACCCAGAGACCCAGGGAUUUG
rnacentral:lncRNA from 1 species